rnacentral:rRNA from 1 species
AGAUUGAACGCUGGCGGCAGGCCUAACACAUGCAAGUCGAGCGGCGGCACGGGUACUUGUACCUGGUGGCGAGCGGCGGACGGGUGAGUAAUGCCUAGGAAUCUGCCUGAUAGUGGGGGGAUAACGUUCGGAAACGGACGCUAAUACCGCAUACGUCCUACGGGAGAAAGUGGGGGAUCUUCGGACCUCACGCUAUCAGAUGAGCCUAGGUCGGAUUAGCUAGUUGGAGGGUAAAGCCUACAAGGCGACGACGGAUAGCCGACCUGAGAGGGUGACGGCCAACGACUCGGGACUACGAGACACGGCCCAGACUCCGUACGGGAGGCAGGCAGUGGGAAUAUGCACAAGUGGCGAAAGCCU